UACGAAGGGGGCUAGCGUUGCUCGGAAUCACUGGGCGUAAAGCGCACGUAGGCGGACUCUUAAGUCGGUGGUGAAAUCCUGGAGCUCAACUCCAGAACUGCCUUUGAUACUGAGGAGCUUGAGUCCGGGAGAGGUGAGUGGAACUCCGAGUGUAGAGGUGAAAUUCGUAGAUAUUCGGAAGAACACCAGUGGCGAAGGCGGCACUCCUGGACCCGGUACACGUGACGCUGAGGUGCGAAAAGCGUGGGGAGCAAACAGGG
rnacentral:rRNA from 1 species